rnacentral:rRNA from 1 species
GAUGAACGCUGGCGGCGUGCCUAAUACAUGCAAGUCGAGCGAACAGACGAGGAGCUUGCUCCUCUGACGUUAGCGGCGGACGGGUGAGUAACACGUGGAUAACCUACCUAUAAGACUGGGAUAACUUCGGGAAACCGGAGCUAAUACCGGAUAAUAUAUUGAACCGCAUGGUUCAAUAGUGAAAGACGGUUUUGCUGUCACUUAUAGAUGGAUCCGCGCCGCAUUAGCUAGUUGGUAAGGUAACGGCUACCAAGGCAACGAUGCGUAGCCGACCUGAGAGGGUGAUCGGCCACACUGGAACUGAGACACGGUCCAGACUCCUACGGGAGGCAGCAGUAGGGAAUCUUCCGCAAUGGGCGAAAGCUUGACGGAGCAACGCCGCGUGAGUGAUGAAGGUCUUCGGAUCGUAAAACUCUGUUAUUAGGGAAGAACAAAUGUGUAAGUAACUAUGCACGUCUUGACGGUACCUAAUCAGAAAGCCACGGCUAACUACGU